UGUUCCUUAAGAUAGAUAAGCAAAUCAACUUGCAUGGGAGUUAUUAGUUUUCGUCUCUGAUAUUCUGUUUUUCUCCGCAGAAAAAUAUUCUAACCACAUGAUUAUAUAAUGCUUCUACAUUUUUUUUAUGUUUCAACCGACGUGCUCUAAUAGGCUUUUAUUUAACCAUGUUAACCUUUACCUUUGUAGGGCCAGAUAUUCUACCGAGUUGUUUCAGCAAGGAUAGAUUUUUUGUAGGGCCUGACUUUAAGAAGUUGGAAAAAAGGUUUGCAGCUGCUCAGAGCAGGUCGACUGCUGCCAAGCCUGUUACAUUUGCAGCUGCUCAGAGCAGGUCUACUUAAUUCCACUGAAAACUUCUUGUACGCAUUACCUUAUCUUCUGAUCCGAGGGUAUUUUUGAGGGUCUAACUCUGUCUUCUUUUGAUUCAGGUUGACCGCUGUCAAGCCUGAUACGCACGACAAGGGUAUGAGGUUGAAAAGAAUUCGGGAUCAUGAUGACAUGCAGAUGGAGGAGCUGGAAG